UACGUAGGGUGCGAGCGUUGUCCGGAAUUAUUGGGCGUAAAGAGCUCGUAGGCGGCCUGUCGCGUCGGAUGUGAAAGCCCGGGGCUUAACCGCGGGCUUGCAGUUGAUACGGGCAGGCUAGAGUUCGGUAGGGGAGACUGGAAUUCCUGGUGUAGCGGUGAAAUGCGCAGAUAUCAGGAGGAACACCGGUGGCGAAGGCGGGUCUCUGGGCCGAUACUGACGCUGAGGAGCGAAAGCGUGGGGAGCGAACAGG
rnacentral:rRNA from 1 species